UUAAGCGACUAAGCGUACACGGUGGAUGCCCUGGCAGUCAGAGGCGAUGAAGGACGUGCUAAUCUGCGAUAAGCGUCGGUAAGGUGAUAUGAACCGUUAUAACCGGCGAUUUCCGAAUGGGGAAACCCAGUGUGUUUCGACACACUAUCAUUAACUGAAUCCAUAGGUUAAUGAGGCGAACCGGGGGAACUGAAACAUCUAAGUACCCCGAGGAAAAGAAAUCAACCGAGAUUCCCCCAGUAGCGGCGAGCGAACGGGGAGCAGCCCAGAGCCUGAAUCAGUGUGUGUGUUAGUGGAAGCGUCUGGAAAGGCGCGCGAUACAGGGUGACAGCCCCGUACACAAAAAUGCACAUGCUGUGAGCUCGAUGAGUAGGGCGGGACACGUGGUAUCCUGUCUGAAUAUGGGGGGACCAUCCUCCAAGGCUAAAUACUCCUGACUGACCGAUAGUGAACCAGUACCGUGAGGGAAAGGCGAAAAGAACCCCGGCGAGGGGAGUGAAAAAGAACCUGAAACCGUGUACGUACAAGCAGUGGGAGCACGCUUAGGCGUGUGACUGCGUACCUUUUGUAUAAUGGGUCAGCGACUUAUAUUCUGUAGCAAGGUUAACCGAAUAGGGGAGCCGAAGGGAAACCGAGUCUUAACUGGGCGUUAAGUUGCAGGGUAUAGACCCGAAACCCGGUGAUCUAGCCAUGGGCAGGUUGAAGGUUGGGUAACACUAACUGGAGGACCGAACCGACUAAUGUUGAAAAAUUAGCGGAUGACUUGUGGCUGGGGGUGAAAGGCCAAUCAAACCGGGAGAUAGCUGGUUCUCCCCGAAAGCUAUUUAGGUAGCGCCUCGUGAAUUCAUCUCCGGGGGUAGAGCACUGUUUCGGCAAGGGGGUCAUCCCGACUUACCAACCCGAUGCAAACUGCGAAUACCGGAGAAUGUUAUCACGGGAGACACACGGCGGGUGCUAACGUCCGUCGUGAAGAGGGAAACAACCCAGACCGCCAGCUAAGGUCCCAAAGUCAUGGUUAAGUGGGAAACGAUGUGGGAAGGCCCAGACAGCCAGGAUGUUGGCUUAGAAGCAGCCAUCAUUUAAAGAAAGCGUAAUAGCUCACUGGUCGAGUCGGCCUGCGCGGAAGAUGUAACGGGGCUAAACCAUGCACCGAAGCUGCGGCAGCGACGCUGAUGCGUUGUUGGGUAGGGGAGCGUUCUGUAAGCCUGCGAAGGUGUGCUGUGAGGCAUGCUGGAGGUAUCAGAAGUGCGAAUGCUGACAUAAGUAACGAUAAAGCGGGUGAAAAGCCCGCUCGCCGGAAGACCAAGGGUUCCUGUCCAACGUUAAUCGGGGCAGGGUGAGUCGACCCCUAAGGCGAGGCCGAAAGGCGUAGUCGAUGGGAAACAGGUUAAUAUUCCUGUACUUGGUGUUACUGCGAAGGGGGGACGGAGAAGGCUAUGUUGGCCGGGCGACGGUUGUCCCGGUUUAAGCGUGUAGGCUGGUUUUCCAGGCAAAUCCGGAAAAUCAAGGCUGAGGCGUGAUGACGAGGCACUACGGUGCUGAAGCAACAAAUGCCCUGCUUCCAGGAAAAGCCUCUAAGCAUCAGGUAACAUCAAAUCGUACCCCAAACCGACACAGGUGGUCAGGUAGAGAAUACCAAGGCGCUUGAGAGAACUCGGGUGAAGGAACUAGGCAAAAUGGUGCCGUAACUUCGGGAGAAGGCACGCUGAUAUGUAGGUGAAGUCCCUCGCGGAUGGAGCUGAAAUCAGUCGAAGAUACCAGCUGGCUGCAACUGUUUAUUAAAAACACAGCACUGUGCAAACACGAAAGUGGACGUAUACGGUGUGACGCCUGCCCGGUGCCGGAAGGUUAAUUGAUGGGGUUAGCGCAAGCGAAGCUCUUGAUCGAAGCCCCGGUAAACGGCGGCCGUAACUAUAACGGUCCUAAGGUAGCGAAAUUCCUUGUCGGGUAAGUUCCGACCUGCACGAAUGGCGUAAUGAUGGCCAGGCUGUCUCCACCCGAGACUCAGUGAAAUUGAACUCGCUGUGAAGAUGCAGUGUACCCGCGGCAAGACGGAAAGACCCCGUGAACCUUUACUAUAGCUUGACACUGAACAUUGAGCCUUGAUGUGUAGGAUAGGUGGGAGGCUUAGAAGUGUGGACGCCAGUCUGCAUGGAGCCGACCUUGAAAUACCACCCUUUAAUGUUUGAUGUUCUAACGUUGACCCGUGAUCCGGGUUGCGGACAGUGUCUGGUGGGUAGUUUGACUGGGGCGGUCUCCUCCUAAAGAGUAACGGAGGAGCACGAAGGUUGGCUAAUCCUGGUCGGACAUCAGGAGGUUAGUGCAAUGGCAUAAGCCAGCUUGACUGCGAGCGUGACGGCGCGAGCAGGUGCGAAAGCAGGUCAUAGUGAUCCGGUGGUUCUGAAUGGAAGGGCCAUCGCUCAACGGAUAAAAGGUACUCCGGGGAUAACAGGCUGAUACCGCCCAAGAGUUCAUAUCGACGGCGGUGUUUGGCACCUCGAUGUCGGCUCAUCACAUCCUGGGGCUGAAGUAGGUCCCAAGGGUAUGGCUGUUCGCCAUUUAAAGUGGUACGCGAGCUGGGUUUAGAACGUCGUGAGACAGUUCGGUCCCUAUCUGCCGUGGGCGCUGGAGAACUGAGGGGGGCUGCUCCUAGUACGAGAGGACCGGAGUGGACGCAUCACUGGUGUUCGGGUUGUCAUGCCAAUGGCACUGCCCUGUAGCUAAAUGCGGAAGAGAUAAGUGCUGAAAGCAUCUAAGCACGAAACUUGCCCCGAGAUGAGUUCUCCCUGACUCCUUGAGAGUCCUGAAGGAACGUUGAAGACGACGACGUUGAUAGGCCGGGUGUGUAAGCGCAGCGAUGCGUUGAGCUAACCGGUACUAAUGAACCGUGAGGCUUAACCUU
rnacentral:rRNA from 1 species